AGUGGGGAUACACAAGCUACGUGCCUCCGAGGGUUAGCGUGAGGACUGCAGGGGAUCAUGCAGAUAAUGGGCGUUGGGCCAGCUCAUGGGAAGCCUUCUUAGCAGCCUUCUACCUCCUGGCUCUCCAUCUGCUUCUCUAGGAAGGAGGAUGGAUGAGGACCCAUGGGAUGACAUCAGGCAACCUGACACCAGAUACAUCAGUGGGGUGGACCCCACAGGGCUAUGGCUGUCCCAGCUGCCACUGGCCUCUCCCCACCUGCCCUUGGGGUAAGGGCUCCGCAGUCAUUCUCAUUCCCUCUGUCUUCCCCAGUCCCCAGGCCAGGUGACCACAUUCUGCCUCAAUUCCACUGCUGCCACCCUGGACCAGUCCUCCAUCGCUAUUCAUCUGGAUGACUCCAGCCGCCUCCUAACUGGUCUCCCUGAUUCCUUCCUCUCUGGAUUCCUCCAGUCCAGAAUUAUUUUAUCAAGGCUGUCAUUCUCCUGUUUAAAUCUCAUCAAUGACUUCUUUAUAUCACUUGUCCAGCCACACUGGACACCCCCAGCUCUGCACAAAACAUCCUUCUCACCUUUAAGCAUGCCAUUCCUUCUGCCCAGGAUAGCCUCUCUCCCAGUCUCACUUAUCCUCCAGAUCUCCACCAACUGUCACAUCCCGAAGAAGGCUCCCCUGACCACGUGUCCUU
rnacentral:lncRNA from 1 species